GAUGAACGCUGGCGGCGUGCUUAACACAUGCAAGUCGAACGAAGCACUUUAUUUGAUUUCCUUCGGGACUGAUUAUUUUGUGACUGAGUGGCGUACGGGUGAGUAACGCGUGGGUAACCUGCCUUGUACAGGGGGUUAACAGUUGGACACGGCUGCUAAUACCGCAUAAGCGCACGGCAUCGCAUGAUGCAUUGUGAAAAACUCCGGUGGUAUAAGAUGCACCCGCGUUUGGUUAGCUAGUUGGUGAGGUAACGUCCCACCAAGGCGACGGUCCAUAGCCGACCUGAGAGGGUGACCGGACACAGGGGGACAGAGACAGGGCACAAACUCCCACGGGAGGGAGGAGGGGGGAAUAUUGCACAAUGGGCGAGAGCCAGAGGCAGCGGCGGCGCGGGAGUGGAGAAGUAAUGAGGUAUGUAAAGCUCUAUCAGGAGAGGAGAUAAUGACGGUACCUGGCGAAGAAGCACCGGCUAACUACGUG
rnacentral:rRNA from 1 species